GCCGGGUUGAUACAUUGAAAAUAUAGAAAUACAGAGAAUGAUGACAGCUGGCAGCAGGCAGAGGCACCCGGAAAAGGUGAACCAUUACUGCCUUGGUGGCUUUAAAUAGUCCCAGUCACAGAACACAUCUGUCUGUUACAAGCCACCAGCCUCAGUCUGUAUUAGCCAAUGUUUAGCUGGGAUUCCUGUGGCUGUUGCACCAUACCCAGGUAAUCAGUUCCUAUAAGCCAACUUGGAUUUCAGAUUUCAGUAUGCUACACAUGGUUACGGGAGGAUGCAUUUGACGGUUACCUUCUGCUACUUCUGGAGUCGGUGGAGGAACAAUGAUCUCUUUCUCCCAGGAAGGCAUGUAGGGGAGGUGUAGAAUGUGGAGAUAGAGAGCUCUAUUUCCCCUUGGGAAUGAAACACCCUGAGAGUUAAACGAGGAGGAAGUCUUCUCGUUGUAUCAGCACAGUUUGCCCGGGACAACAUACCGCCAAAUGAAACACCCUCCGUGACGAGCAGUGGUGGAUUUUGAAAUGCUACGGGAAAAUCAGCAGGCCCUGCUGAAUCAUAUUCGCUGAGGUUCCUGUGUCUGGCGAUGACAGGUUCCUGUGGGCGUAAAGAGGAUAGGGCGGAACCAACAUGGCCAAGCAGUAACCUCAGAUCACUGAAAUGGAAUUCCAAAUGGCAACCUAUUUCCUGGCCCCUGACAACACUUUCCACGUGAUCUGGUAAAGGGAUAUUUACUCUCUGGUAAACUGGCCCUUCGCUGCACACAUGACACCAGAAUCACUGGGACCAGCUUGGCUACAGGACUCUCCUUUGGCUCUCGUUAUUUUCAGUUCUUUGGAGCCGACCAGCGCAAUGGACUCCAUAAGACUGCAAAAAACCUGACACUCGUCACUCCAUUCUCCUUUAAAAAACAGUUUGAGCUGCAAUCUGAUCACUGUACCUGGUAAGCGCCUGACACCAAGUGUGAAUACACCACAUGUCUCAUCUCAUAUAAUGAACACCAACUUAUGCACCUUAUCUUUGAGUACGCAAGUAUCACCACACGUGACGUAAUGGGUUAAAUGUAAUCAUCUGAAUUAGCUCCCCACAUUGUUCUGUAACUUUGUUGGCAUGCACUCUUCUCUCUCUCCUCCCCAUUGUAAUACACUAUUCCAGACUUUAUGUGGACCCC
ensembl:lncRNA